CCCUUAGAUGUUCUGGGCCGCACGCGCGCUACACUGAUGCAUUCAACAAGCCUAGCCUUGACCGAGAGGUCCGGGUAAUCUUUGAAACUGCAUCGUGAUGGGGCUAGAUUAUUGCAAUUAUUAAUCUUCAACGAGGAAUACCUUGUAAGCGCGGGUCAUCAUCCCGCGCUGAAUACGUCCCUGCCCUUUGUACACACCGCCCGUCGCUCCUACCGAUUGAGUGGUCCGGUGAGGCUUUGGGAUCUGAGCGGAAAGAGCGUUUCGCUGUUUCUGCUCGGAAAACUCAGUCGAACCUUAUCAUUUAGAGGAAGGAGAAGUCGUAACA
rnacentral:rRNA from 1 species